rnacentral:rRNA from 1 species
GUAGGUGGCAAGCGUUGUCCGGAAUUAUUGGGCGUAAAGCGCGCGCAGGCGGUUCUUUAAGUCUGAUGUGAAAGCCCACGGCUCAACCGUGGAGGGUCAUUGGAAACUGGAGAACUUGAGUACAGAAGAGGAAAGCGGAAUUCCACGUGUAGCGGUGACAUGCGUAGAGAUGUGGAGGAACACCAGUGGCGAAGGCGGCUUUCUGGUCUGUAACUGACGCUGAGGCGCGAAAGCGUGGGGAGCAAACAGGAUUAGAUACCCUGGUAGUCCACGCCGUAAACGAUGAGUGCUAAGUGUUAGGGGGGUUUUCCGCCCCCCUUAGUGCUGCAGCUAACGCAUUAAGCACUCCGCCUGGGAGUACGGCCGCAAGGCUA